rnacentral:ncRNA from 2 species
AGCUUGACGUUGGGAGAACCAGUUCACUGGUGCCGAAGGAGCAACUGCCUCGGAAACUCUCAGGCCACAGGACCAGCGUCAGGAC